GAUGAACGCUAGCGGGAGGCCUAACACAUGCAAGCCGAGCGGUAGAGUUUCUUCGGAAACUUGAGAGCGGCGCACGGGUGCGUAACACGUGUGCAACCUACCUUUAUCUGGGGGAUAGCCUUUCGAAAGGAAGAUUAAUACCCCAUAAUAUAAUGAUUGGCAUCAAUUAUUAUUGAAAACUCCGGUGGAUAGAGAUGGGCACGCGCAAGAUUAGAUAGUUGGUGAGGUAACGGCUCACCAAGUCAAUGAUCUUUAGGGGUCCUGAGAGGGAGAUCCCCCACACUGGUACUGAGACACGGACCAGACUCCUACGGGAGGCAGCAGUGAGGAAUAUUGGACAAUGGGGGAGAGCCUGAUCCAGCCAUCCCGCGUGAAGGAGGACGGUCCUAUGGAUUGUAAACUUCUUUUGUACAGGGAUAAACCUACCCUCGUGAGGGUAGCUGAAGGUACUGUACGAAUAAGCACCGGCUAACUCCGUG
rnacentral:rRNA from 1 species